rnacentral:misc_RNA from 1 species
GUAUUUAUUAUAUAGUUUAUAUAUUUCAGGCCAAUAGUAUUUAGACAUGUUUUGAACAUAAUAAAAAUUGGCAGGCCGAGCGUCUAGCCCACACAGCUCUCUAACCCGAGAGUGUUAACCUGCCAAUAAACACUUCAAUGAUUCACACAAGGUGGAUAUGGAUAAAUUAUCCAUUAUCGUGGACAAUUGUUAAUGAUCCUUCCGCAGGUUCACCUACGGAAA